rnacentral:rRNA from 1 species
AGAGUUUGAUCCUGGCUCAGAUUGAACGCUGGCGGCAUGCCUUACACAUGCAAGUCGAACGGUAACGCGGGGCAACCUGGCGACGAGUGGCGAACGGGUGAGUAAUGCAUCGGAACGUGCCCAGUAGUGGGGGAUAGCCCGGCGAAAGCCGGAUUAAUACCGCAUACGACCUGAGGGUGAAAGGGGGGGAUCGCAAGACCUCUCGCUAUUGGAGCGGCCGAUGUCAGAUUAGGUAGUUGGUGGGGUAAAGGCCUACCAAGCCGACGAUCUGUAGCUGGUCUGAGAGGACGACCAGCCACACUGGGACUGAGACACGGCCCAGACUCCUACGGGAGGCAGCAGUGGGGAAUUUUGGACAAUGGGCGCAAGCCUGAUCCAGCCAUGCCGCGUGCGGGAAGAAGGCCUUCGGGUUGUAAACCGCUUUUGUCAGGGAAGAAAUCUUCUGGGCUAAUACCUCGGGAGGAUGACGGUACCUGAAGAAUAAGCACCGGCUAACUACGUGCCAGCAGCCGCGGUAAUACGUAGGGUGCAAGCGUUAAUCGGAAUUACUGGGCGUAAAGCGUGCGCAGGCGGUUUUGUAAGACAGAGGUGAAAUCCCCGGGCUCAACCUGGGAACUGCCUUUGUGACUGCAAGGCUUGAGUGCGGCAGAGGGGGAUGGAAUUCCGCGUGUAGCAGUGAAAUGCGUAGAUAUGCGGAGGAACACCGAUGGCGAAGGCAAUCCCCUGGGCCUGCACUGACGCUCAUGCACGAAAGCGUGGGGAGCAA